CCAUGUUGGUUCCUGGAUGCACCGGCCCGUUAUCCUUCCACUGCAGAGAGGAGGAGGUUUUCGCUGCUCUGUGAAGCCAGCCUCACGCGGUGCC